rnacentral:rRNA from 1 species
AGAACGAACGCUGGCGGCACGCCUAACACAUGCAAGUCGAGCGCCCAGCAAUGGGAGCGGCGGACGGGUGAGUAACACGUGGGAACCUUCCUAGAGGUACGGAACAACGCAGGGAAACUUGCGCUAAUACCGUAUGUGCUCUUGCGAGGAAAGAUUUAUCGCCUUUAGACGGGCCCGCGGCCCAUUAGCUAGUUGGUGGGGUAAAGGCCUACCAAGGCGACGAUGGGUAGCUGGUCUGAGAGGACGAUCAGCCACACUGGGACUGAGACACGGCCCAGACUCCUACGGGAGGCAGCAGUGGGGAAUAUUGCGCAAUGGGCGAAAGCCUGACGCAGCGACGCCGCGUGAGGGAUGAAGGCCUUCGGGUUGUAAACCGUCUUUCAGCAGGGACGAAGCGAAAGUGACGGUACCUGCAGAAGAAGACACCGGCUAACUACGUGCCAGCAGCCGC